rnacentral:tRNA from 1 species
GACUUCUAUAUGUCAGGACGGGCAAGAAUGAAAUUUUUAGUAAGAGGAAAAUCCGUCGACUUUAAAAAUCGUGAGG